rnacentral:rRNA from 1 species
GAUGAACGCUGGCGGCGUGCCUAAUACAUGCAAGUCGAGCGAACAGACGAGGAGCUUGCUCCUCUGACGUUAGCGGCGGACGGGUGAGUAACACGUGGAUAACCUACCUAUAAGACUGGGAUAACUUCGGGAAACCGGAGCUAAUACCGGAUAAUAUAUUGAACCGCAUGGUUCAAUAGUGAAAGACGGUUUUGCUGUCACUUAUAGAUGGAUCCGCGCCGCAUUAGCUAGUUGGUAAGGUAACAGCUUACCAAGGCAACGAUGCGUAGCCGACCUGAGAGGGUGUUCGGCCCCACUGGAACUGAGACACGCUCCAGACUCCUACGGGAGGCAGCAGUAGGGAAUCUUCCGCAAUGGGCGAAAGCCUGACGGAGCAACGCCGCGUGAGUGAUGAAGGUCUUCGGAUCGUAAAACUCUGUUAUUAGGGAAGAACAAAUGUGUAAGUAACUAUGCACGUCUUGACGGUACCUAAUCAGAAAGCCACGGCUAGCUACGUG